GACGAACGCUGGCGGCGUGCUUAACACAUGCAAGUCGAACGGUGAACGAGGGAGCUUGCUCCCUCCGGAUCAGUGGCGAACGGGUGAGUAACACGUGAGCAAUCUGCCCUGAACUCUGGGAUAAGCGUUGGAAACGACGUCUAAUACCGGAUACGACGCGGGAGGGCAUCCUCUCCGCGUGGAAAGAACUUCGGUUCGGGAUGAGCUCGCGGCCUAUCAGCUUGUUGGUGAGGUAACGGCUCACCAAGGCGACGACGGGUAGCCGGCCUGAGAGGGUGACCGGCCACACUGGGACUGAGACACGGCCCAGACUCCUACGGGAGGCAGCAGUGGGGAAUAUUGCACAAUGGGCGCAAGCCUGAUGCAGCGACGCCGCGUGAGGGACGACGGCCUUCGGGUUGUAAACCUCUUUUAGCAGGGAAGAAGCGAAAGUGACGGUACCUGCAGAAAAAGCACCGGCUAACUACGUG
rnacentral:rRNA from 1 species